rnacentral:rRNA from 1 species
AUUGAACGCUGGCGGCAGGCCUAACACAUGCAAGUCGAGCGAGCGGCGGACGUGUGUGUAAUGCCUGGGAAUUGCCCAGUCGAGGGGGAUAAAAUUUGGACACGACUUAUAAUACCGUAAUCGAUUGUAUUGCCAAGGUGGGAUUCGCUAGUUGGUGGGGUAAUGGCUCACCAAGGCGACGAUCCCUAGCUGGUCUGAGAGGAUGAUCAGCAACACUGGAACUGAGACACGGUCCAGACUCCUACGGGAGGCAGCAGUGGGGAAUAUUGCACAAUGGGGGAAAGCCUGAUGCAGCCAUGCCGCGUGUGUGAAGAAGGCCUUCGGGUUGUAAAGCACUUUCAGCGAGGAGGCGUUACUCGCAGAAGAAGCACCGGCUAACUCCGUGCCAGCAGCCGCGGUAAUUC